GAUGAACGCUGGCGGCGUGCUUAACACAUGCAAGUCGAGCGAUGAAGUUUCCUUCGGGAAACGGAUUAGCGGCGGACGGGUGAGUAACACGUGGGUAACCUGCCUCAUAGAGUGGAAUAGCCUUCCGAAAGGAAGAUUAAUACCGCAUAAUGUUGAAAGAUGGCAUCAUCAUUUAACCAAAGGAGCAAUCCGCUAUGAGAUGGACCCGCGGCGCAUUAGCUAGUUGGUGGGGUAACGGCCUACCAAGGCGACGAUGCGUAGCCGACCUGAGAGGGUGAUCGGCCACAUUGGGACUGAGACACGGCCCAGACUCCUACGGGAGGCAGCAGUGGGGAAUAUUGCACAAUGGGGGAAACCCUGAUGCAGCAACGCCGCGUGAGUGAUGAAGGUUUUCGGAUCGUAAAGCUCUGUCUUUGGGGAAGAUAAUGACGGUACCCAAGGAGGAAGCCACGGCUAACUACGUGCCAGCAGCCGCGGUAAUACGUAGGUGGCGAGCGUUAUCCGGAUUUACUGGGCGUAAAGGGAGCGCAGGCGGGUCUGCAAGUUGGAAGUGAAACCCAUGGGCUCAACCCAUGAACUGCUUUCAAAACUGCGGAUCUUGAGUGGUGUAGAGGUAGGCGGAACUCCCGGUGUAGCGGUGGAAUGCGUAGAUAUCGGGAGGAACACCAGUGGCGAGGGCGGCCUACUGGGCACUAACUGACGCUGAGGCUCGAAAGCAUGGGUAGCAAACAGG
rnacentral:rRNA from 1 species